ACGAACGCUGGCGGCAUGCCUCACACAUGCAAGUCGCACGAGACCUUCGGGUCUAGUGGCGCACGGGUGCGUCACGCGUGGGAACCUGCCCUUAGGUUCGGAAUAACUCCCCGAAAGGGGUGCUAAUACCGGAUAAUGUCUUCGGACCAAAGAUUUAUCGCCUUUGGAUGGGCCCGCGUUGGAUUAGCUAGUUGGUAGGGUAAAAGCCUACCAAGGCGACGAUCCAUAGCUGGUCUGAGAGGAUGAUCAGCCACACUGGGACUGAGACACGGCCCAGACUCCUACGGGAGGCAGCAGUGGGGAAUAUUGGACAAUGGGCGAAAGCCUGAUCCAGCAAUGCCGCGUGAGUGAUGAAGGCCUUAGGGUUGUAAAGCUCUUUUACCCGGGAUGAUAAUGACAGUACCGGGAGAAUAAGCUCCGGCUAACUCCGUG
rnacentral:rRNA from 1 species